GCAGUAGCCGCGGUAAUACGUAGGUCCCGAGCGUUGUCCGGAUUUAUUGGGCGUAAAGCGAGCGCAGGCGGUUAGAUAAGUCUGAAGUUAAAGGCUGUGGCCUAACCAUAGUACGCUUUGGAAACUGUUUAACUUGAGUGCAAGAGGGGAGAGUGGAAUGCCAUGUGUAGCGGUGAAAUGCGUAGAUAUAUGGAGGAACACCGGUGGCGAAAGCGGCUCUCUGGCUUGUAACUGACGCUAAGGCUCGAAAGCGUGGGGAGCAAACAGGAUUAGAGACCCCAGUAGUCCCUGUCUCUUAUACA
rnacentral:rRNA from 1 species